rnacentral:rRNA from 1 species
CCUUUGACGAUUGACUCAUGUUGCCACGGCGGGUUCUCCCGCCAGAGGAUACAUCAAAACUCCUGUUUUAACGGUGUUGUCUGAGCUACAAGCAACGAAUCAAAACUUUCAACAACGGAUCUCUUGGUUCUGGCAUCGAUGAAGAACGCAGCGAAAUGCGAUAAGUAGUGUGAAUUGCAGAAUUCAGUGAAUCAUCGAAUCUUUGAACGCACAUUGCGCCCCUUGGUAUCCCGAGGGGCAUGCCUGUUCGAGCGUCAUUUCACCACUCAAGCCUGGCUUGGUGUUGGGCGACGUCCCCUUUAGGGACGCGCCUUGAAACGCUCGGCGGCGUGGCACCGGCUUUAAGCGUAGCAGAAUCUUUCGCUUUGAAAGUCGGGGCCCCGUCUGCCGGAAGACCUACUCGCAAGGUUGACCUCGGAUCAGGCAGGGAUACCCGCUGAACUUAAGCAUAUCACUAAGCGGG